rnacentral:tRNA from 1 species
GCCUCUGUAGUUCAGUUGGUUAGAGCGCUGCACCGGAAUCGCAGGGUCGUAGGUUCAAUUCCUACCAGAGGAC